UGGCUCAGUUGGUAGAGCAUGGUGUGUGCAACACCAGGGUUGUGGGUUCAAUUCCCAU
rnacentral:tRNA from 1 species